UGAUUCUUAUUAGUGCUUCAUCUAUGACGUUGGACAGUGUGUACAAAAGAUCACUGAGAAGCUAUCACCAUCUAGGAAAGAUUUCUCCAUUAUCACCUCAGCCAUAUUCACAAGAUGCAGUACCAUCGUCAGCAUCAUCUUCAUUCACAAAGAACAACAGCAGCUGCUCAUAUGGUCUUUGUAUGCAAAGAAGCCUGCAUUUAUUAUCAAUGGAAUUAAGAGUGAAGUUGGAAGCAAGAGUGCAGUAGCCUGAUAUUCAGGGCAGCCUCACAGCGGAAAGCUUUAUAGAGAGAUCAGGGGACUGAUACUCCACUUCAUUACACCACUAUUAUACACAUGUCCAUGAGAGAAAUAUCAGCCCCAUGCAUCUAAAACUUAAGCUACCUCCGGGCAGAUCUUCAGCUGAAGUCUAUGGAGCUCUGACAGUUCAUACCAGCUGAAUACGUACUACUUUGUUUUUCCACCUCUGUUGUCUACGUGCCCCUCAUACGCUUCAGUCUUGUCAUAAAUGUUGACUGGAGACUUUGCCGAUGAACUUAUACUACAAUUUCCCAUUCUGUGCCUACACCCUCCCGACAAGACGUGCACAUAUAUAAUCAACCUGGCCAUUCUCGUGUCCUCAUUCUGUUCCUAUCAUCUGCAUUCUGAGCUAACCAAAGUUUAUCUGAAGAACAUUCUUAGUUGUUGACUAAGUUGGCUAACUAUAAUAGAUUAACCUUGUCCUAACCUACCUCAUCUUGAAUGACAAUUUCAAGAUUGAACUCUGCACAGCCAGAGAAAUGGCAAGAUUCAACUAAAUGAAACCUUAAAUGGAAAAAAAAAUAUUCUGACUACAUCAUUCAGAUACUUAUUACUUAUAAAAGAAAAAAAAGUAGGUCUAGACAAAUUAAAAAACAAACAAACAAGCAGAGCCCAACAACUCUGAAAUGCCAAAGCCUGAGGAGUUUGGCUGCUAUUAAAAGGAAUAUCAAAUAGGAGGAAGAACCAAGAAAAUAUUCAAGGCCAAAGAGCAGCUGUUCAAUGCUACUGGAAUUGAGGCUUUUAAAAACGUUGUCCGACAUCCAAGAUUAGACCUCUGACACAUAUGUCUAUAGACUACAACCAAACUGUUAGUUUAGAGAAAGAGAAACAAAUCUGCUUUUCAUCUGCAUUGCAUUGAUAGUUCAUCUCAUGGUAUUGACAGAUAUUUGAGAAAGACAACCAAUAAAUGCGAAAUAGCAAAUAACAAUAAUAAAUAAAUGUAAUUAAUUGACUAGCAUGGCAAAGAAAGCACAGGAUCCAGUACCAUGUCCUCAGGCAAGAGCCAAAGGGCAACUCUCAUUGGUAAUAAAUAUAAUUGACUGUCAUAUGUGGAAGGUAAACAAAGCAAGCAGAGGAUUCAAGAAGCCUACAAGGUGUUGAAUGUGCCCCUGGCAUUUAAAGCUACCCAGGACAAAACACUAGAAAAUAAACUGUUGCUAACUCUGUAACUGAUGUCACCUAUUAUGCAUAUUUUAUAAUUCUCUCUCUAUCUUUCUCCACGGUAUACUGCAGAUUUUCCAAGUCUUUACAGGACUAAGGAAGAAAAUCGUAAUAAAUGGUAUAAAAAGGAAAUGAAAAUAC